UACGUAGGUGGCAAACGUUGUCCGGAUUUACUGGGUGUAAAGGGCGUGUAGCCGGGCUUACAAGUCAGAUGUGAAAUCCGGGGGCUCAACCCCCGAACUGCAUUUGAAACUGUAGGUCUUGAGUAUCGGAGAGGCAGGCGGAAUUCCUAGUGUAGCGGUGAAAUGCGUAGAUAUUAGGAGGAACACCAGUGGCGAAGGCGGCCUGCUGGACGACAACUGACGGUGAGGCGCGAAAGCGUGGGGAGCAAACAGG
rnacentral:rRNA from 1 species